rnacentral:lncRNA from 1 species
CUUCACUGAAAAUAAUCCAGUUAGCAUCCAGCCAGAAAUACCAGUGCUCUACUAAUUGCAUUCUCUCCAUCUUGCUCAGGUAGGUAGAGCAUCUUCACAUCUUUUGGACAGUAUCUAUGGGAUGUUUAGGGGAGCUGCAGGAUCUGGAGAGAAGAGAGACCUGAAAGGUUGGAGUUGUCUGUACCAGCUAGGUGGGAUGCCCACUCAGGAAGUCUCACUCUCUGAGAAUUCUGCAAGGUGCAAAUUGAUAACUGCAAUUCCAACCCAUGUGAAAAUGGAGGAACAUGUGUUACCUAUGAAGACCAUUUUAAGUGCAUUUGCCCCAUGGGUUUUGAAGGUGAAAGAUGUGAACUGGAUAUUGACGUCUGCCUAUUCUACAAUAUAAGCUGUGCCCCAGGAGCACUGUGCAUGAAUAAAUCUCAUGGAUUUAAUUACACGUGUUUAUCACCAUGUAUUGGAAACACAGAGGUAUGCGCAAAUGGAGGUAGCUGUUUCUAUGAUGAGGACAACCAGAGAUCUCACUGUGUUUGUGCUCUUGGGUGGACAGGACAAACAUGCCUGGAGAAUAUUAAUGACUGUGAGAUAAACCAGUGCCAACAUGGAGCCACAUGUGAAGAUGAAGUGAAUAAAUACAGUCCAUAUCAAAAAGUGAAGAAAAUUUUAUUAGAAGAACAAUACUGUGCUUACGUUAAAAAUCCACUAGUAUUUAUCAUGAAAUUAGUAGGUCUGAAGACUUGCAGUAGAACAAGAACUUCUGAAUUUAACUCACAAAUCCAUACUCAAGCUGUAAUGAAACUCUGCAAGAUCAUUUGA